CCUCCCCUCGGUGGCGAACGCUCCGUCGUUGGAUAGGGCUAUCCUUCCAUUCCCUCUCCUGCCUCUCUCGAAUGAAAGUUUCUCCUCUGAGAUCCCUUUUUCUUGGCUGUCGCGGAUUUUCUUUUUCUCUCUUUCGUAUCACACACAUCUCAGUUAGUAUUCCUGCCAUCUUUGUUUUCGUUCUUUCGUUGUUUUCAACUGGUACAAAUAGUAUAGUGCAGUGAGAAUUAAAAUUGACGAGCGCGUUAAAGUUAGGUUUUUUUCUCUUUUCUUGGUGUUCUAUAAAGUUUCUUUGUCUUAUCCUUUCGUUUGAUGGCUUUGAGCUAUGGUUUUGCCCAUUGUCUUUGGUGGGCUCUGGAAUCGAGAUACUCUAUUUGUGGGAAAUGUGUGCUUUUCUUAAUCCUGCUUUAUUGCUUCAUGAUAUUAAUGGAAAAUUAGUUUUUGUUCGUCAAUCUGACUAUAGUGCUUGUUCUGACGAAUUUUAGCUUGAACUCAGUGAUAUCAAUUACUUGAUUAUAUUGCGACUAGGAGCUUUGGCUACUUUGUGGCGAAGGAUGGCGCCUGCGGUGGAAAACAGGGAGCACAAACGACGGGACACAUCUGAUAGGAAGGAAUCAGGCCUGAAGGAGCUGAACAUGCUUGGUUCAGCCAGUGAACAGAGACUGUGAUCUGUGAUCACCAAAACAAGCUCCACUUGCCAUCAAUCAUGAAAAGCCAAACCUUUUUUCUUUGCCAAGAUAAGAGUACUGAGCGAGAGGAGAUGCAUAUUCUGAGAAGUUGCAAAUCAUAUUACAACAAAAGCUCCUUUCUGCAAGAAACUAGCUAUUACUUGGACAUCCAUUGCGACUUAGCAAGAGAUAGCUACAUCUCAAUACCAACUUCUACGCAUGUGACGUAGAAGGCCCAUUAUCUGAAGUAGAAGCACCUUGUUGUUGUUGUUUGUCACUCAGUCUCCUCUUGAUCACCUUAUCAAUCUCUUCUUCCUUGGUAUCGACGAAGUGCAUCAAGUUCUUGAAGCUCUUUAACUUGCUAAGUUUGGGAUCCAUUCGGUUGCUGCUUACCUCGACAUUUUCCUUGGAUUUGCCAGCCUCUGUGCUGCUAAACUUGCUGUACUGACAGCAUGUCUUGAUGAUGUAGACGAUGAGAGCAAGAACGCACACGAUGCCGGAGAGGAGGAAGAGACCCCAGAAGCUCCUGAGACUUAGCCGGUUGGCUUCUAGGUCGGUAUCUUGCGAAGAACAUUCAGUUCGCGAUAGCCACUUGUCAUGGAUUCUUUGGAGAUCACCAUUCUCGGACAGUGUCAGGAUUGCAGUAGACAAGUCAACUGCGAGAGGAGAGUCUCUCUGGAAUGCCUGUGUUCGAUGAUGAAGUUCCAAGUCCAUGUUAGAUGUUUACAGACAGCGAAGACAAUAAAUACAACAGGGAGAUUUUGGCAGCAGAAAAUUAAGCUAACAUGACGAAUUGUGAGUAGAAAUCUACAAAAUGAGUCCCUAAGAUGAGAUGCAGUUUGCAAGUUCGUCACUUGGAGAUAUCAUGUUUAUAUUCUGAUAUGAGAAUGGUGAACAUUUAUUUGCAGCUCGACUCGAAGAAUUCGUAUGAUCAGAAUUGUAACGGUGCUGAUGAACAGUUCUCAUCCAAACUCUGGCAUCAGUUAAAAUGGAGCUAAAUCACAAAUUGUCAAGAGAAAUCUACAAAAUGAGUUCUUAA